rnacentral:rRNA from 1 species
UACGUAGGGGGCAAGCGUUAUCCGGAUUUACUGGGUGUAAAGGGAGCGUAGACGGCAGGGCAAGUCUGAUGUGAAAGGUCGGGGCUCAACCCCGGGACUGCAUUGGAAACUGUCCGGCUGGAGUACAGGAGAGGUAAGUGGAAUUCCUAGUGUAGCGGUGAAAUGCGUAGAUAUUAGGAGGAACACCAGUGGCGAAGGCGGCUUACUGGACUGUAACUGACGUUGAGGCUCGAAAGCGUG